UCGAGGAGGCACCAGUGAUUUCCUGUCGAGGUUAGUCGUUCGCGCGUUAGUGGACUGACUGGUCGGAAAUUAAAUUGGUCGUCUAUUAAAAAUAGUUGCUUUUAAUCUUUCACCCUCGCCGAGUCGAACGGGAGAAUCGUUAAAUGUUUCCUCUGGUCACGGGUGGUCCUACGAUACGCUGUGUCGACUACCACGGUCGUGCCAUUAGGUGGAAUGGGAGCUGUUGAGAAAGUAUAAAAGAGCUGGAGCAACGCUGCAGCGACGGUCGGAUUCCGAGGGGCUCCGUUGAUUUGGGAUCAUUGGUAUUGUUUCUCGACCGAUUGACAAUACGAAUCAUCCGACAAUGACCCUCUCACAGACUAGCGUGUUGAAGCUGUAUAAUACCGUGAUUGAAGAUGUAAUAGCGGGAGUACGAGAAUCAUUCUUGGAUGAAAGUGUAGACGAGCAAGUUUUACAAGAGCUCAAGCAGAUAUGGGAGACGAAGCUCAUGUCCAGCAAGGCGGUGGAAUUAAAUCCAGACCCACCAGAACCACAACCUCCUCAGCUUAACACUCACAAAUCGGUCGCAGCCAGUAAAGCUGCCAACGUAGGUAAUGUUGGAAACCACUUUGUGCAACAAUCGCAACCUGUUCCCCCCAUACAGCAGCCUCAACAGCACCCGCAAUCACAACCCCAACAGCAGCAACAACCCCAGCCGCAGCAGCAACAGCAGCAGCAUGCCCAUUCGGCUGGCAUACCUGUACAGCAACACGCCAAUAUGCCAGUACAACAAGUUGUGGCUGCACCAGCAACAGUUUUAGAACGACAAGUGCCUCUUCAAAUUACAUUACCAAAACAAGCUGGUGUACCAGACGCUGAACAACGUGUUCUAACUAUACAAGUUCCUGCUUCGGCAAUUCAAGGUAAUCAACUGCAUACUAUCUUGACGGGUCCUGUAAUUACUGCAGCAAUGGGAUUACCAGCCAAUUUAGCAUCUACAUUACUACAGCAACAUGUGAAUGCCACGUUUCAAGGUCAGGCAGCUUUGACACCUAUUCAAGUGAAUCAGCCUGUACAAGUUGUCACACAAAGCACAAACAACGUGGUGUCGCAAAGACCAGUACAGAAUCAGCAGGGUAAUAUAGCUCAAUUAGACGGACCUCUUGGUGAUUCAUCGGAUGAUGAUGAAGAAGAAGAGGAAGAAGACAAUGAUGACGAUGAUGAAGAUCUUGAUGAUAAAGAGGAAGAAGAAAAUGAAGAAGCAGCUGCUCGUGAGGAGGAGCCACUCAAUUCGGAAGAUGAUGUUACAGAUGAUGAUCCUACUGACUUAUUCGAUACGGAUAAUGUUGUUGUAUGUCAAUAUGAUAAGAUCACCAGGAGCAGAAACAAAUGGAAAUUUUACCUAAAAGAUGGUAUAAUGAACUUAAAUGGAAAAGAUUAUGUAUUUCAAAAAGCUAACGGAGAUGCCGAAUGGUGAAUUCCUUCACAGUGAAGAGUGCACGCCAUUUAUAACUCUAGGACAUUUCGAGGGCAGCCAAUGUCUACACUCGUACCGGAGACGAGUUUUCGUGAUUGUGGCGGAGAUUGGAUUUGUCGAGUAAGCUUUUGGGACACCAGCUAAGAUCACGAGUGCAUUUUACAUUAUAUGUUUAUUUCCUGUAGUUUGCAACAAGGGUUUAUUUCCAAUCAUCGGGCUACGUUUAACACUUUGUUGGUAAAGUUUAAGCGUCGAAAUAUUAUUUAUAUGUGUAGUAGUCCAAAAGUGGUGCGAGUUGCAAAUCGUAGUUUUUGGAUAUUGCUAGAUUAUGGCAUGCUAUCUUGUUUUAAAUGAAGUAUUUUAUAUUUUCCAUUGAAAGUACAUAAAAUCGAGCCGUUCCGACAGACGCAAUCUGUACUAUAUAUCGUUUCUUCUUAAUCUACGGUUCAUAUGAAUCAAUUUAAUUACUUCGUGAAUAAGAGGUCCCAGACUUGUCAUAAAUUUGGAAAAAGUAUUGGUCGAUGACAUCGGCAUAGUCAAACCCAAUAGAUCUAUGUUAUUUAAAGAAUUUGAUAUCAGUUCUGCAUCCUCUAUGAACGUGGAAUAACUGUAAAUAAACAAAGACAAACCGCAUUUCACGGUAUAUGCAAAAAUGCUUAAACAAAUAAACGUAUCUUAUAUUAUUGUCAA
rnacentral:misc_RNA from 1 species